UCUUUCAACAUACCAUUAUUGUACUAGGCAUUGCUUAGUUUACACGCUUUGCCAUUUGUUUGUCUGUACUUGUCAGCUUGGCUUAGUUUACACGCCUUGCUAUUAUUUCAGCAUAUCAUUGCUGUAUUAGGCAUUGCUUAGUUGACACGCUUUGCCAUUUGUUUGUCUGUACUGGUCAGCUUGGCUUAGUUUACACGCCUUGCUAUUAUUUCAGCAUACCAUUGCUGUAUUAGGCAUUGCUUAGUUGACACGCUUUGCCAUUUGUUUGUCUGUACUGGUCGGCUUGGCUUAGUUUACACGCCUUGCUAUUAUUUCAGCAUACCCUUGCUGUAUUAGGCAUUGCUUAGUUGACACGCUUUGCCAUUUGUUUGUCUGUACUGGUCAGCUUGGCUUAGUUUACACGCCUUGAUAUUAUUUCAGCAUACCAUUGCUGUAUUAGGCAUUGCUUAGUUGACACGCUUUGCCAUUUGUUUGUCUGUACUGGUCAGCUUGGCUUAGUUUACACGCCUUGAUAUUAUUUCAGCAUACCAUUGCUGUAUUAGGCAUUGCUUAGUUGACGCGAUUUGCCUUCAUUCAUAAAUUUUAAUAGUGUGCAUUGCUUAGUUUAAAUGCUUUGCAAUUUGUUUUCAAGUCUCAAAUUAUGUACUGUCUUGUCAGCUUGGCUUAGUUUAUUUUAUCCAUUCUGCACGGCUGAUGCUUUAAUUUGAUAUGAAAUUGGAUUUUAAUUGUACAUAGAUACAUUGUCACAUCAUGCCAGAAGUUCUUUUUCAAAUUAAUCAUGUAUGGGAAUUUUUUAACCCUACUAGCCCGCGCAAGAAAAAUGUCCAAUAUCUAGUCAGGAACGACAGCCUUUAUAAAAGGCCGCGGGAGAUUUCCACAUCAUGUCUUAAAUACAUAAGUUUUUUAUUAAUCUAGGUUACAGUUUUACACUUUAAUUUUUCGUAAUUUAAGAUCUGUCGGUAUAAGGCAGCAGAUCUUUAUAUAUAGAAAAAGCAGUGAAUUACAGCAAACUGAGUGCCAUUACAAUCUUUCAAAUUACUGACAGUUCAAGGCUGCAGUACGUUGGACAUACUGUAGGUCACAGUUUUCCACUUUUAUUUUGGUAAUUUAUGAUCUGUCGGUAUAAGGCAGCAGUUCUUUAGAUAUUAUAAAAAAGACAGUGAAUUACUGCAAACUGAGUGUCAUUACAAUCUUUCAAAUAACUGACAGUUCAAGGCUGCAGUUUUCUCCUUGCUGACGGUGCAAGGCCGAAGUUUAUUUCUUUCGUGCCAUAAUAAUGUGUAUGACGGUAUUCCUAUUCAUGUAUAUCUUGUGGCAGAUAUGCACAAUUUGGCUUCAUAAAGGUUUUAUAAAUCUGACAGUACAAGGCUGCAGUUUUCUCCUUGCUGACGGUGCAAGGCUGAAGUUUAUUUCUUUCGUGCCAUAAUAAUGUGUAUGACGGUAUUCCUAUUCAUGUAUAUCUUGUGGCAGAUAUGCACAAUUUGGCUUCAUAAAGGUUUUAUAAAUCUGACAGUACAAGGCUGCAGGUUUCUUAAUUAAUCAUACAUAUAAUUUCAGAUUGUGUUCAUGCUACUGCAUGAUAUUAAUAUCACUAGUUGAAUGGAUUUAUGUAAAUGUUAAAAGUACAUUUGUACUGAAGGUUUUUAUGUAUUAUUGUAGAAAUGUUUACAUUCACAUCUUGUUCAAAGGUCUUGUUACUUUAUAAUUUUUUGGAAGAGUCUAGUCUUGUAUAGAAACUUUUUCUAUUUAUCCUUACUUAAUACAUUAAUUUAUAUUUUUCAUGCAACAAUCAUAUAAUGAACAAAUUAACAUUAGACACGUCAGACUCACAUGUAUUUAGGUCAAAUGCAUAAAUAAGGUUUAAUUAGAUAUUUUACAAUUUUGAUUUCAAUUCUACAUUAGGUCUUAACUGAUAAUUGGAAAAAUGUAUAGCGAACAAAUUGACAUUUACAUCUAUUUUGGUUUAAUGCAUUUUAAAGGUUUAACGAAUAAAUGAUUCAAAAGAAUUGGCAUAUCCGCUAGGACUUACGCAAAUUGAAGAUACUAACUGAAAUUCAAUGUCACAUACCUUACAUAGGAGAUGUGUAUGUUUAAAUGUCUAAGGUGCCACGCACUGUUGACAUACUCCAGUCUAUGCAUUUAAAAUUUUAAUUUACAAUCUACUAGCCCAAAUUCAGUUUUGAAUUCAUACUACUAUAUAUUUAACUAAAUUUUUGUAUAUUUUUCACUUCAUGAACUAGUUUCACAGGCUAGGGGCCUGUGCUAACUUUGAUGAUGCAACUUGGAAGCCAUGGCCAUGCAAUUUUGGCUGUUCACCAUUGAAGGAUAUCUGGUUGCUGAUACAAUAAUAAUCCAUUCCUAAUUUCUAAUUUAAAAAAGAAUUUUUUCUAGUUUCAUUGUUAUUGAUGACUAGUAUAUCUUGUAACAAUUUUCCAUUACACAUAGUUUGAAACUAUAAAUUUGAUUCAUACCUCUAUUUGUUACAAUCAGUUUAGACGUUGAAACAGUCCGGAUAAUGCAUACUGUCAGAUGUCUCAAUAAUACAUAUAUAAUGUAAUUGUUAUAAGUAUUUUCACAGCUAAUUAUUUGGUCUAUUAACUCAGUUGCUGGUUUACAAUAGCAUAUCCUGUAAUGUGCCUGACAGUUUAAGGCUGCAGUCCACAUAUAUUUAAAGAACAAGUCAGGAUCCAUUUAAAUGUUAGACAUUAAUUCUACACAUAUUAUAAUAUUGUCAUUAGAUAUAUGAUUUGUCGUAACAUUUUUGUCCUAACAUGACUUGAUUAAAUUAAUGGUAACUUCGGCAAAUUUAGCCCCUCUGUUUCAAUCCUUAUUACAGGUCAAGCUCAUCCCUAGUCAAGUCUCCCUGGGUGGCGGAAGGUUCCCUUUGUGGCGGUUUUUACCUCCCAGUUUGGUUAUUUCGAUACAAAUAUGUACAUGCCAUGUUUGUUAUUAUGUAACAUUUGUCAUGUUUGUUAUUAUGUAACAUUUGUCAUUUAUGGCAUUUAAUAAAUGCCCUAUUUCAUUCAA